GUGUGUAGGUAUUUUCCCAAACUGUACAGCUGAGGGGAAUAGUGGCCUCCUGUGGGCUGCCUAGCAUCUGCUCAGCUAAAUUUUAUAAAAGGAAACGCUCCCUUUAUAAAACAGUAGUCUCACAGAGUCACCUACCAACUUCUUUUUUGGUUUGGGUUUGUUUUUUUUUCUUCCUCCCUAAUUGUGAGAAUAAGAUUAGAGGAUUGGUCAUAAUCAGAGCGAUGCCAGCGUGGGAAGCACGGUUGGAUUUCCCUGGCAUUCCACCACCUGCUGCUGCUCGGUUCCCCGUCCUACCUCCUUCAGGUAGCCAGGUCGUAUUCAUGCUUAUUCCGUUGUCGUAUUCCGUUGCUGCUUUUGCCCCUUACGUGUACUCCCUCUGAAACCCCUAGUUGCUUUGUGGUCAGUUGGACUGAUGUUGCGUCAACCAGGUAUUAUGUGGAUUCCUAUGUGAUGCAAUGUAAAGUACGUGCUAUCGCCCAUGAAGUAUUCUAGCCCAAGGUGGUUAACUUGCCUCUAUGGCAUCUUGAGUUUGAUGUUUACAGGAAGUAAGGGGAAUUGAGGAGCAAGUAAAAUGACACCACAGGGAACCAGGCAAAUACAGGAAGUGGGCCUUCCUUCAGGACAGCUGGCCAGUUCUCUUUGUCGAGUCAGAGUCCUAUGAAAGGGCCUAUGCCAGAUUAAAAGGAACCCGAAGAAUAUAACCAAGAGACACAUUGCAAGGGCUUGAGUUGGGGGCCAACUUGGAGAAAUAAGCGUAAAGGACAUUUUUGGUUCAUUUGGAGAAAUUUGAAUAUGUACUGAGUAUUAGAAGAGUAGUUAUUCACAUGGAAACGUGGAAAUUAUUGUCUUUUUUAAAAGCUGGUUACAAGACGGGAUGUGUCUGUAGACAAAAUGAAAAACAUGUCCUCAAAAUACAGAUUAAUAUGUAUGUAUGCAUAUGAAGAUGUGGGAGGAGAAUAUGAACCAAGGGUUACAGUGGUGAUCUCUGGGUGGUGACAGAGAUAUUUUAUUUUUUGUUUUGGCUGGUUCCAUAUUCUAUGAUGCUCAUGAAGUGCUUUUGUAAUAAGAAAAUAUUAUUUAAAAUUUAAAAAUAAUUUUCUUUGCUAUCGGUAAGUGAAUAGCAGAUUUUUAGGAGGCCUAAUAAAUCCAUAAAUCCA
rnacentral:lncRNA from 1 species